CUUUUUUCACUAAUAGUAAUGAUACUAAGAAUGGCUAACAGCACUAUGUGCUAGAUGCUUGACAUGCAAGAAUUCACUUCGGUCUCUUAAGUAAGCUCAUUUUAUAGCUAAGGGAGUGGAGGCACAGAGAGGUCAAGCAACUUGACCCAUGGCUGCACAGCAGGUAAGUAGCCGAGCCCAGAUCUGAAGCGGGGUUCCAAUCUCCACCCCAUCUCUUGCCUUCGCGCUGGCUAUUUCUGACUGGCUUACUACGGUUGCAGCUAUGUCUGUCUCAUUGUCUUGGGUGCAGAAGUUUUAUCUCAUCCUUCCCUAGUAACAUCUUCCUUCUCCUCCUUCCUUCCUCAAAUGGCUGAGCACACAGUAGGUGCUUUCGAAGUUCUUGUUCCAAGAUAGGCCACUGCUAGGGUGUGGGGACACUUUCUGACAUCAGGUGGCAGCAUUGGCCAAAAGUUUUCUCCAAACUCUGGGUCUCAUUAGUCAAGUAAAAACUUAAAACGUUUAUUUCUGGUAGAAAUGAUAAAUACUUUGCACUAAAAAUCUGGAAUUCAAGUUUUCCUCGUACUUCAUGCUCCCUCCCUGCCCCAGAACCUUACAAAAAUAUUUCUGUGUAGAGAGGGAAAGAGCUGGUGCCUGCUCUGGAGGCAACGUCCAGGUCCGGGAAAGGCACUCGUGGUCUGUGAUCUGUCUCAGUGAUGGGAGGUCUCCACUCGCCCCACAGGCAGCCUCGGGGCCAGAGAUGAGAAUAUGCUGUAAUCCAGUACAGGGGCUGCGUCGUGGGUCCCCAACAGCUCCUUCUUUGGGGAUAGUGAGCCCCUUGUUGGGGAGUAGGAAGGGACUGAGGGGCCAGCUCCUUCCAGAUGUGUGCAUGGGGAAGGGAGUUGUGUCUGGGGAGGUGGGUGUCCAGGUAUAGACUCCUUUUAGGGUCUAAACGUUCAAGGAGUUCAACAGAACAACCAGAGGCCAUCAUGUUUUGGCAGCUUGCAAGUGAACACUCCAGGGGAGAUGCAGGAGGGAGGGGUGUAGAUCUGGGGAGCCCUUCUCUCCCUCUCUGCCCGCAAGGAAGGCACAGGGUGGGAAUGGGGGUGCCUUCAUGAGACCCCCUGCCAUGCCACACCCCCUUCACAGUCAUGUGAGAUGGGGCCAGAGGGGCCCAGGCUCUAGGGCCAGGGGAGUGGGGAGGGAGGGAAAUAAGGCCUCAGGUGGGGGUUGCCACCCCCUCUAGUGGCUGGUGAAGAGCAGUGGGCCCAGAGCAGCCACCCGCCAGGUUGCUCCCACCCUAGCCUGGGUAGGGAUCCUCAUCCCAGAGACACAGCUGCCUCUGGGGCACGUAGAAGUCGAAGCUGUAGCUCUUCUGGCAGCUGCGGAUGCCACACUUGUAGGGCGUGGGCCGAGCCUCGAACACAGAAC
rnacentral:lncRNA from 10 species